rnacentral:rRNA from 1 species
UGUUGCUCCUGCGGAAGGCAUUA